UCACUCCCCCACCGGCACCAAGGCCAAAUUUGGGGGCCAAAAGAUGUGAGGCAAAGAACCUCACCCCCCCACUGGUGCAUAGGCCUAUCCACAAGUAUGGCUAUAUGCUGGACUGGUAGUCAGUGACGGGUAUGAUCCAAUUGCAGUGGUAUCAACCUAAGACAGGAGGCUGACGCCUAGAGGUCAGUUCAUCCCAUGACGGGUAAGAACCAUAUGUUGAAUUGGACAAACCUAACAGGCAUGGUCCCUAGCCACAUUGCUUGUUGCUUAAUUAAACAGAAGGGGGGAGAUGCUAAGAGCCACAGCCAAGUAAUAUGAUGAAUGACAUUUUUGGUUGAAAGGUGACGCCAGCAAGCCAUUGAGAUGAUAUGAUUAUGUUAAGAUCUGCAUUCAUAUGGAUAUUGGACUCCUGCUGUCCACCUCGGCCUGCUACAGGACUCCUGGAGAGUUCCCAUUGGUUGGGGAAGUGCAGUAGGAGGGAAUUCGGAGGAGGGACUUCCUGAGGGGGUCCAGGAGAAUGCUGCGUGGGUCAGUCGGCAAUCUUCCC
rnacentral:lncRNA from 1 species